rnacentral:rRNA from 1 species
CCUACGGGAGGCAGCAGUGAGGAAUAUUGGUCAAUGGGCGCGAGCCUGAACCAGCCAAGUAGCGUGAAGGAUGACUGCCCUACGGGUUGUAAACUUCUUUUAUAAAGGAAUAAAGUGAGGUACGUGACCCUUUUUGUAUGUACUUUAUGAUUCAGGAUCGGCUAACUCCGUGCCAGCUGCCGCGGUAAUACGGAGUAACCGAGCGUUAUCCGGCUUUACUGGGGUUAACGGGAGCGUAGUUGGGUUAUUAAGUCAGAUGUGAAAGUUUCCGGCUGAACCGUAAAAUUGCAUUUGAUACUGGCAGACUUGAGUAUGGUAGAGGUAGGCGGAAUUCUUGGUGUAGCGGUAAAAUGCUUAGAUAUCAAGAAGAACGCCGAUUGCGAAGGCAACCUACUAAACUGCCACUGACAUUGAUGCUCGAAAGUGUGGGUAUCAAACAGGAUUAGAUACCCGAGUAGUC